AUUGAACGCUGGCGGCAGGCCUAACACAUGCAAGUCGAGCGGAUGAAGGGAGCUUGCUCCUGGAUUCAGCGGCGGACGGGUGAGUAAUGCCUAGGAAUCUGCCUGGUAGUUGGGGAUAACGUCCGGAAACGGGCGCUAAUACCGCAUACGUCCUGAGGGAGAAAGUGGGGGAGCUUCGGACCUCACGCUAUCAGAUGAGCCUAGGUCGGAUUAGCUAGUUGGUGGGGUAAAGGCCUACCAAGGCGACGAUCCGUAACUGGUCUGAGAGGAUGAUCAGUCACACUGGAACUGAGACACGGUCCAGACUCCUACGGGAGGCAGCAGUGGGGAAUAUUGGACAAUGGGCGAAAGCCUGAUCCAGCCAUGCCGCGUGUGUGAAGAAGGUCUUCGGAUUGUAAAGCACUUUAAGUUGGGAGGAAGGGCAGUAAGUUAAUACCUUGCUGUUUUGACGGUACCAACAGAAUAAGCACCGGCUAACUUCGUG
rnacentral:rRNA from 1 species